UCUGAAAGUCGCAGCUGUCCAAGUUGGAGUGUCCCCUCUUGUCACACACCGUCCGGCCAAUUUCCACAUUGAGCAUGUAUUUCAGCCCUCUGACAACCUAGAGGAAGCAGUUUCCAGCCAAGUACCUGAUCUGCAGGCAGCUGUUUCAAAUUUGGGAAGAACUGAAAAAAGGAAAGGUGUAGAAGGAGAAGAAAUCCAGAUGCAAAUGGAAACUUUUACAAUCUGAGGCCCCAGCCUUGGAAACAUCUUAUCUUGCGACCCCAUUGUGGCUUAACGCUCACUAACACCUAUUGAGUCACAGCCUCUUGUAAGAGUGGUGAAACAGCUCUGCCUGGCCAGGGAAUCACACACAAGGCAUGUGAAGAGCUUUACAUGUCCUGCCUGUAAGAAAGGGGAGGCCAGUGUCAAAAGAAGUCUCUAAACUACGACUCCAGCUUCUAACUGAUCAUAUCGGACAGAUUAAGUUUCCUUUCAGAUGAAGGAAGGAUGCCUGGAUACCCCAAGCAGUGGGCAUAUUAGAAACACAUAAGUAACCUUGGUGCAUGGUGGGACGGACACAGAGAGAUUGUAUCUUCGUAUGAUUCAAAAGUGAUUUGUACUAAAAGUUUAUGGUUUGCCAGUGAUGGUGGGCAAACCUCAAGAAGACUGAUUCUGAUCUGA